ACGGGGGGUGCAAGCGUUGUUCGGAAUCACUGGGCGUAAAGCGCACGUAGGCGGCCGAUCGUGUCGAAUGUGAAAGCCCUCGGCUCAACCGAGGAAGUGCAUUCGAAACUGGUUGGCUUGAGUUCGGUAGAGGAGAGUGGAAUUCCGGGUGUAGAGGUGAAAUUCGUAGAUAUCCGGAGGAACACCAGUGGCGAAAGCGACUCUCUGGGCCGAUACUGACGCUGAGGUGCGAAAGCGUGGGGAGCAAACAGG
rnacentral:rRNA from 1 species